AUGGAUGGAAUUGAAUACUUCCCAUGCUUUGUUUCAAAAACCACGCCAUGGAUCGGCAAUGAGCUCUUCUACGACAGAAAAUAUCAGGAAGCAGCAGCUCACUAUACCGAAGCUCUGAAAAAGAAUCCGAAUGAACCCGCAGUUUUCAGAAACAGAGCUCAGUGUCACAUAUUUCUAGGAGCUCUGCCUGAAGGUCUGGAAGAUGCAGAAAAUUGUAUUGAGCUGGAUCCUACUUAUCUGAUGGGUUACGCGUGUAAAGCGAAGGUUCAAGCACUGAUGCAGAAUUAUGAAAGUGCUAUGGCAACAUACAUAGAGGGUUUGAAGUGUGAUCCAAACAGUACUAUUGUAAUUGAUGGCUUUAAGAGAUGUAAGACAUGCAUUGAGAGGUCUAAAGGUGGUGACGUUGGGCCUGAGGAUUUAGAAGACAUUUUGAGAGAUUGGCAUUCAGACAUAUUUCUGUCUAAUGAACUUAAAAAGUACAUGGAAGAAGUUGCAGUAUUCAAGAAAGAAGCUUCUGAUGAGCGCUUGAGGCGGAUUGAAUCUGAACAAACAGCUAGGACAGCAGAGGCAAACCAGGUGCAACGACAGAAAGAAACUGAGGAGCAUCUGUCCAAAAUACAACAAGAGUUGCAACAAGUCAAAGCUCGACAGGAUGAGGUUGCUAAUCAGCUACAGAAAGCUAAUAAGCAUAACGAACAUGCUCAAAAUCAGCUUUUGGAAUCAAAAAAGUUCCAUAGUGAGGAACUUCAGAAGGCAAAUGAGCAUAGUUUGAAUCUGCAACAUCAGCUCACUGAGUCCAAAGAGCGGUAUAAUCAGCUUCAGUCCAAGCAUGACGUCUUGCUAAAGGAACGAGAUACUGCACUCAAAGAGGUGGAAAAGUUACGCCGGAAAAGUACGGCGAUGCCCUACGUGUUUUCAUUAGCUGAACUAGAACGUGCAACAGAAAAUUUCAGUACUUCAAUGAAGUUCAGAGAAUGUGGGGUUGCCUCUGUGUACCGAGGUGUCCUCCGGAACAUGAAAGUUGCAAUAAAGGUGCUGAGACACGAUGGUCAAGGACGCUCACAGUUUGAACAAGAGGUUGCUAUCCAUAGCAAAGUGAGACACCCCAACCUUGCAACUCUUCUAGGAGCAUGCAAAGAGGCAUCGACGCUUGUCUACGAGUCCUUGCCAAAUGGUAGCCUUGAGGAUUUCCUUUCAUGUGAGGAUAAGAGGCAAACUCUGACCUGGCAGAUUCGCAUCCGUAUUAUUGCAGAGAUAUGUUCAGCUUUGAUCUUUCUGCACGAGAACAAACCUGACCCAAUUGUUCAUGGCGAUCUUCAGCCUGCCAACAUUCUACUUGAUGCCAACUUAGUCAGUAAGCUUAGUGAUUUUGGCAUUUCUCAUCUGUCAAUCCAGUCCAACAGCAAAAGCACCAAGCAUCCCGUGGAUGACCCUACAUACAAGGACCCAGAAUGUGUUGCCACUCAGAAGAUGACACCUCACUCCGAUGUUUAUUCUUUUGGAAUGGUAGUCUUGCGUCUUUUAACUGGAAAGCCACCUGUCGGUAUAAAGAAGAUUGUGGAGGAUGCGAUGCAGCAAGGUGACCUUAACUCUAUAGUUGAUUCCUCGGCCGGUGACUAG
rnacentral:rRNA from 1 species